AACAGCAACUGUUGAUCCAAGAGUUAGACUCCCAUCGGCACAAAGGGUUUACUUCCAAAAGCAAGACGCCCAUAAACCUCGUCAGCAACUACAAGAAUUCCAAGCU